rnacentral:rRNA from 1 species
UCAGUACGAGAGGAACCCUCUGUUCGCACAAUUGGUAACGCCCUUGGCUGAAAAGCCAGUGGGGCAAAGCUACCAUGCGUAGGAUAAUGACUGAACGCCUCUAAGUCAGAAUCCAUGGUGGAAGGCUCGGCAUUUAUGUCUCCGGACGAUACACGCUAACGAUAACUUUGUCGAGAGCGCUAUUCACCGAAAUUCCGAUUGUACGGAGACGUGAAUCCCUUGUAGACGACUUGGAUACGCCACAGGGUGAUGUAAGGUGU